AGCAGCCGCGGUAAUUCCAGCUCCAAUAGCGUAUAUUAAAGUUGUUGCAGUUAAAAGCUCGUAGUUGAAUUUCGAGAUCAAUUUAUUGGUCGUGCUAUUGUACGUACUGGUAUUAUUGAUUUCUACCUUCUGACGAACCAUGAUGUCAUUAAUUUGGUGUCAUGGGGAAUCAGGACAGUUACUUUGAAAAAUUGAGUGUUUAAAGCAGGCUCACGCUUGAAUACAUUAGCAUGGAAUAACGAAAUAGGACGUUUGAUUCUAUUUUGUUGGUUUCUAGGAUCGACGUAAUGAUUAAUAGGGAUAGUUGGGGGCAUUAGUAUUCAAUUGUCAGAGGUGAAAUUCUUGGAUUUAUUGAAGACUAACUACUGCGAAAGCAUUUGCCAAGGAUGUUUUCAUUAAUCAAGAACGAAAGUUAGGGGAUCGAAGACGAUCAGAUACCGUCGUAGUCUU
rnacentral:rRNA from 1 species